rnacentral:rRNA from 1 species
CUCAGUUCGGAUUGUAGGCUGAAACUCGCCUACAUGAAGCUGGAGUUGCUAGUAAUCGCGAAUCAGCAUGCCGCGGUGAAUACGUUCCCGGGCCUUGUACACACCGCCCGUCACACCAUGAGAGUUGGCAAUACCCAACGUACGUGAUCUAACCCGCAAGGGAGGAAGCGUCCUAAGGUAGGGUCAGCGAUUGGGGUGAAGUCGUAACAAGGUAAC